rnacentral:rRNA from 1 species
GUGAGUGAUGAAGGCUUUCGGGUCGUAAAGCUCUGUCGAGUGGGAAGAAAAUGCCUGAUGCAAAUACCAUCAUGCAUUGACGGUACCACUGAAGGAAGCACCGGCUAACUCCGUGCCAGCAGCCGCGGUAAUACGGGGGGUGCAAGCGUUAUUCGGAAUUAUUGGGCGUAAAGAGCGCGUAGGCGGCUCUAUAAGUCAGAUGUGAAAGCCCGGGGCUUAACCCCGGAAGUGCAUUUGAAACUAUAGGGCUUGAGUAUGGGAGAGGGAAGUGGAAUUCCUGGUGUGGAGGUGAAAUUCGUAGAUAUCAGGAGGAACAUCGGUGGCGAAGGCGACUUCCCGGACCAAUACUGACGCUGAGGCGCGAAGGCGUGGGGAGCAAACAGGAUUAGAUACCCUGGUAGUCCACGCAGUAAACGUUGAACACUAGGUGUAGCGGGUAUUGACCCCUGCUGUGCCGCAGUUAACGCA